rnacentral:tRNA from 1 species
GGAGGAGUGCCAGAGUUGGCCGAUCGGGACUGUCUUGAAAACAGUUAGGUGCCGUAAGGUGCCUCAGAGGUUCGAAUCCUCUCUCCUCCG